UACGUAGGCAGCAAGCGUUGUUCGGAAUUACUGGGCGUAAAGAGUGUGUAGGCGGUGUCGUAAGUUUGGUGUGAAAUCUCCCGGCUUAACUGGGAGGGUGCGCCGAAGACUGCGAUGCUGGAGUAUGGGAGAGGAAAGCGGAAUUCCUGGUGUAGCGGUGAAAUGCGUAGAUAUCAGGAGGAACACCGAUGGCGAAGGCAGAUCUCUGGGCCGUAACUGACGCUGAGGAGCGAAAGCGUGGGGAGCGAACAGG
rnacentral:rRNA from 1 species